UAGAGACUGCUAAGGAACAGGCCAUAACUGUGGAUAAAAUAAGCCUGCCCAAAGAAGUGGCCUGCACAGACGAAACAGAGUAGGUGAGGUUUUUUUAAAGGCAUCGAUUCAAUUUAGGGCGAAGGCCUGAAGUAACAGCUUCAGAAGCGUGGCUGGUUUGGGCACACCUCCUUCACUACCUUCUCUACAGCGUACCCUUUUCUCUCCUGGGCUGAAUUCUGCAAAACUGGCCCCACAAAAUUCAAAUGUGGACAUCUGUAGUGCUGGAUGCCUAUUGGCUUAUAGCUGUGACAUCACCAGGACAUUUUCUCCCAGACCAAUACCUGGAGCACUUUUGCAAGUCAUUGCGAUUUUUUGGGAGGGGGGCAAGGUAAAGGAUGCACACAGAAACAAGUGUACUUACGGUACUUCGACAAAACACCACUGAAGGAUGAGAUGGUGACAAAAGCCAAUUCAGGGGAAGAUCAGACAGUGCCACUUGCCACUGCUUCCUUUUGCCCUCCCGCCCUGUGCCAAGCUUGUG